rnacentral:rRNA from 1 species
GACGUACUGCGCGAACGUUAUUCGGAAUCACUGGGCUUAAAGGGUGCGCAGGCGGCUCCUCAAGCCCGAAGUGAAAGGUCCCGGCCCAACCGGGGACGUGCUUCGGGGACUGUGGGGCUCGGGCGAGCUAGGGGUCCGUGGAACUCCCGGUGGAGCGGUGAAAUGUGUUGAGAUCGGGAGGAACGCCGGUGGCGAAAGCGACGGACUGGGGCUUUGCCGACGCUCAGGCACGAAAGCCAGGGGAGCGAACGGGAUUAGAAACCCUUGUAGUCC